GAAUAUUGCACAAUGGGGGAAACCCUGAUGCAGCGACGCCGCGUGAGUGAAGAAGCGCCUCGGCGCGUAAAGCUCUGUCAGCAGGAACGAUAAUGACGGUACCUGAAGAAGAAGCCCCGGCUAACUACGUGCCAGCAGCCGCGGUAAUACGUAGGGGGCAAGCGUUAUCCGGAUUUACUGGGUGUAAAGGGAGCGUAGACGGUUAUGUAAGUCUGGAGUGAAAGCCCGGGGCCCAACCCCGGGACUGCUUUGGAAACUGUGUAACUGGAGUACAGGAGGGGCAGGCGGAAUUCCUGGUGUAGCGGUGAAAUGCGUAGAUAUCAGGAGGAACACCGGCGGCGAAGGCGGCCUGCUGGACUGAAACUGACGUUGAGGCUCGAAAGCGUGGGGAGCAAACAG
rnacentral:rRNA from 1 species